GUAGAUCACCUCUAAGCUGCUGAGCCAACUACUGUUUGCAAUAGUUCUGAACCGACCAGAGACACUGACAUAUGAGAGCUUCAGCAGCUUGGCAGUCCCAUGUCCCCUGACCUCACUUAUCCCUCCCCUUAGCUUCCAAACCAGCACCAUUUCAAGGGACACUGACACAGCAGCCAAGUUCAUUGGGGCUGGGGCUGCCACAGUUGGGGUGGCUGGCUCUGGGGCUGGGAUUGGGACUGUAUUGGAAGCUUUAUCAUUGGUUAUGCCAGGAACCCUUCUCUGAAGCAACAGCUCUUCUACGCCAUUCUUGGCUUUGCCUUCUCAGAGGCCAUGGGGCUCUUUUGCCUGAUAGUGGCCUUUCUUAUCCUCUUCACCAUAUGAAGGAGCAGUCUUCACCUUGCAUUCUUUCUCCCAUGUCUUGUCUGCUCUGUGUGUCCUUUUUCCUAUACCUCCUCAGGCAGUCUGGGGAAAGUGGUUGGCUCAGGGUUUGACAGAGGGAAGACAAAUAAAUACUGUAUUAAUAAGAAAAAAACAAAAACAAAAACAAAACCACAUUAAUUCUUUUACUC
rnacentral:lncRNA from 1 species